AUGAAAGAACGAAGGAGGACAUCAAUUUGCGUCGUAAUGGCGCCUGGCCAUGAAAGAAAAAGGAUAUGAUUUUGCGUCGUAAUGGAUUUUUGUUGUUUGUUCGGAGCAGCGGCUGCAGUGAUGCGUCCCGUCAG